rnacentral:rRNA from 1 species
AGGAUGAACGCUAGCGACAGGCUUAACACAUGCAAGUCGAGGGGCAGCGGGGGCGUAGCAAUAUGCCUGCCGGCGACCGGCGCACGGGUGAGUAACACGUAUGUAACCUGCCCUAUGCAGGGGGAUAACCCGGAGAAAUCCGGCCUAAUACCGCGUAACACCUUAGGGGAGCAUUCUCUUGAGGUUAAAGGAGAGAUCCGGCAUAGGAUGGACAUGCGUCGCAUUAGGUAGACGGCGGGGUAACGGCCCACCGUGCCGACGAUGCGUAGGGGUUCUGAGAGGAAGGCCCCCCACACUGGUACUGAGACACGGACCAGACUCCUACGGGAGGCAGCAGUGAGGAAUAUUGGUCAAUGGCCGAGAGGCUGAACCAGCCAAGUCGCGUGAGGGAAGAAUGUCCUAAGGAUUGUAAACCUCUUUUGUCGGGGAGCAAAAAGGCUCUGCGGAGUCGUAUUGAGAGUACCCGAAGAAAAAGCAUCGGCUAACUCCGUGCCAGCAGCCGCGGUAAUACGGAGGAUGCGAGCGUUAUCCGGAUUUAUUGGGUUUAAAGGGUGCGCAGGCGGCGUGUCAAGCAAGCGGUAAAAUAGCGGGGCUCAACCCCGUCGAGCCGUUUGAACUGGCGCGCUUGAGUUCAGGCGAGGUAGGCGGAAUUCGUGGUGUAGCGGUGAAAUGCAUAGAUAUCACGAAGAACUCCGAUUGCGAAGGCAGCUUACCAGUCUGCGACUGACGCUCAGGCACGAAAGUGUGGGUAUCGAACAGGAUUAGAUACCCUGGUAGUCCACACAGUAAACGAUGAGCGCUAGGUGUCCGGGUCGCAUGAGACUUGGGUGCCCGAGCGAAAGCGUUAAGCGCUCCACCUGGGGAGUACGCCGGCAACGGUGAAACUCAAAGGAAUUGACGGGGGCCCGCACAAGCGGAGGAACAUGUGGUUUAAUUCGAUGAUACGCGAGGAACCUUACCCGGGCUCAAACGACUCAGGAAUAUAUUGGAAACGAUGUAGCCAGCAAUGGUCUGAGUCGAGGUGCUGCAUGGUUGUCGUCAGCUCGUGCCGUGAGGUGUCGGCUUAAGUGCCAUAACGAGCGCAACCCCUACCGCCAGUUGCCAACGGGUAAAGCCGGGAACUCUGGCGGGACUGCCGGCGCAAGCUGUGAGGAAGGCGGGGAUGACGUCAAAUCAGCACGGCCCUUACGUCCGGGGCGACACACGUGUUACAAUGGCAGGUACAGCGGGAAGCCACCUGGUGACAGGGAGCGGAACCCGAAAGCCUGUCUCAGUUCGGAUUGGAGUCUGCAACUCGACUCCAUGAAGCUGGAUUGCUAGUAAUCGCGCAUCAGCCAUGGCGCGGUGAAUACGUUCCCGGGCCUUGCACACACCGCCCGUCA